rnacentral:rRNA from 1 species
AUCGGCCUACGGGGCGCAGCAGUGGGGAAUAUUGCACAAUGGGCGAAAGCCUGAUGCAGCAACGCCGCGUGAAGGAAGAAGGGUUUCGGCUCGUAAACUUCUAUUAACAGGGACGAAAGAAAUGACGGUACCUGAAUAAGAAGCCCCGGCUAACUACGUGCCAGCGGCCGCGGUAAUACGUAGGGGGCAAGCGUUAUCCGGAAUUACUGGGUGUGAAGGGUGAGUAGGCGGCAUGGUAAGCCAGAUGUGAAAGCCUUGGGCUUAACCCGCGGAUUGCAUUUGGAACUAUCAAGCUA